CAAAUCGRGCGAWAUYCGUCCAAGGCUAAAUAUUGGCGAGAGACCGAUAGCAAACAAGUACCGCGAGGGAAAGAUGAAAAGGACUUUGAGAAAAGAGUCAAAGAGUACUUGAAAUUGUCGGGAGGGAAGCGGAUGGGGGCCGGCGGUGCGUCCCGGUCGGAUGUGGAACGGCGCCUAGCCGGUCUGCCAAUCGACUCGGGGCGUGGACCGACGCGGAUUGGGGCGGCGUCGCAAGCCCGGGCCUUUGUUGUGCUCGCGGAGACGUCGUCGCCUCGAUCGUGGCUGGCAGCGCGCGCCUACGGCGUGCUUCGGCAUCAGCGCGCUCCGGGCGUCGGCCUGCGGGCUCCCCAUUCGGCCCGUCUUGAAACACGGACCAAGGAGUCUGACAUGUGUGCGAGUCAACGGGCCAGAAAACCCGUUAGGCGCAAGGAAGCUGACUGGCGGGAUCCCCUGGAGGGUUGCACCGCCGACCGACCUUGAUCUUCUGAGAAGGGUUCGAGUGUGAGCAUGCCUGUCGGGACCCGAAAGAUGGUGAACUAUGCCUGAGCGG
rnacentral:rRNA from 1 species